rnacentral:lncRNA from 1 species
GGACGGGUGACAUUAAGGGGGGGUGGGCGACCCCAGGGGGGGCUGGGUGACCCCCGGGGGUGACGUUUUUUUUGGGGGGGGGGCGCAGGCGCCUGUGCGAGCAGCAGUACGGGAACGCGCCGCGGGUGCGCAUCAACGGGCACGUGGCCGCCCGCUUCCCCUUCAUCCCCCUGCCCCUCGACUACAUCCUGCCCGAGCUGCUCAAGAACGCCAUGAGGAUCUCGGACCGGGGCGGGGGCAUCCCCCACGAGCUGCUGGACAAGGUGACCCAGUACCACUUCAGCACGGCCGAGGCCAGCGCCCAGGACCCCCGCCUGGGGGGCCCCUUCCGCAACCUCCUGGACCUCAGCCACGGCCCCCAGGCCUGCCCCAUGCACGGUUUUGGCUUCGGGUUGCCCACCUCCCGCGCCUACGCCGAGUACCUGGGGGGCUCGCUCUGCCUGCAGUCGCUGCAGGGGGUGGGCACCGACGUCUACCUGCGCCUCCGACACAUCGACGGCAAGGGGGAGAGCUUCCGAAUUUAGGGGGGGGGCCCAAAAUCUGCCUCGGGGACUCCAAAUUCUCCUUGGGGACUCCAAAAUCCUACUCGGCGGCCUCAAAAUCCUACUCGGGGACUCCAAAUUCCUCCUCGAGGAGCCCAGAUUCUCCUUGGUGGCCUCAAAAUCCUACUCGGGGACCUCAAAAUCCUCCUUGGGGACUCCAAAUUCAUCCUCAACGGCCUCAAAAUCCUCGGGGACUCCAAAUCAUCCUUGGAGACUCCAAAUUCCUCUUCAACGGCACCAAAAUUCUCCUCGGCGGCCUCAAAAUCCUCCUCGGGGACUCCCAAUUCCUCUUCAACGGCACCAAAAUCCUCCUUGGGGACUUCAAAAUCCUCCUCGGCGGCCUCAAAUCUUUCUGGGGGGCCCAAAUGCUCCUCGGGGACCUCAAAUUCUCCUUGGGGACUCCAAAAUCCUACUCGGUGGCCUCAAAAUCCAACUCGGGGACUGCAAAUCCUGCUCGGGGACACCAAAUCCUACUCAUCGGCCUCAAAUCCUCCUUGGGGACCCCAAAUGCUCCUUGGGGACUCCAAAUUCUACUCAACGGCCUCAAAAUCCUCCUCGGGGACUCCAAGUCCUCCUCGGUGGCCUCAAAUUCCUCCUCGGCCUUGCCUCGAUAGCGGUGUCACCUCCCUGGUGGCCUCCCUGGUGGCCUCCCUGGUGGCCUCACCUCCCCGGUGGCCUCCCCCCUUGGGCCUCCUAAAUGGUGUCACCUCCUUGGUGGCCUCCUCCUGAUGUCACCUCCCUGGUGGCCUCCCCAUCGAUGUCACCUCCUUGGUGGCCUCCCUGAUGGCCUCACCUCCUUGGUGGCCUCCCCAUCAAUGUCACCUUGUUGGUGGCCUCAACCCUUGGCCUCCUUGGUGGCCUCCUCAGCAAUGUCACCUUGUUGGUGGCCUUCCCAACAGUGUCACCUCCCUGGUGGCCUCCCUGAUGGCCUCCCCAUCAAUGUCACCUCCCCAGUGGCCUCAACCCUUGGUGGCCUCAACCCUUGGGCCUCCCCAUCAAUGUCACCUCCUUGGUGACCUCCCUGAUGGCCUCAACCCUUGGCCUCCUCACUGACGUCACCUCCCUGGUGGCCUUGGUGGCCUCCCCUUGGGCCUCCCCAUCAAUGUCACCUCCCUGGUGGCCUCCCCAUCAAUGUCACCUCCUUGGUGGCCUCAACCCUUGGCCUCCUCACUGAUGUCACCUCCCUGGUGGCCUCAACCCUUGGUGGCCUCCUGGUGGUGUCACCCCCCUGGUGACCUCCUUGGUGGCCUCCUCAUUAAUGUCACCUCCCUGGUGGCCUCAACCCUUGGGCCUCCACUGUGAUGUCACCUCCCUGGUGGCCUCCCCAUCAAUGUCACCUCCCUGGUGGCCUCAACCCUUGGUGGCCUCCACCGUGGUAUCACCUCCUUGGUGGCCUCCUGGUGGUGUCACCCCCUUGGUGGCCUCCCUGGUGGCCUCCCCAUCAAUGUCACCCCCUUGGUGGCCUCAACCCUUGGUGGCCUCCUCGG